rnacentral:rRNA from 1 species
CGCCUCUUGCUAAUAUUAAUAUAAGAGGUCCAGCCUGCCCAGUGACUUCUGUUUAACGGCCACGGUAUCCUAACCGUGCGAAGGUAGCGUAAUCACUUGUUUUUUAAAUAAAGACUAGUAUGAAAGGCAUCACGAGAAUUAAACUGUCUCCUUUUUCUAAUCAGUGAAACUAAUCUUCCCGUGAAAAAGCGAGAAUAAAAUUAUAAGACGAGAAGACCCUAUGGAGCUUUAAACUUACAGCAUUUGUUCUAAACUAAAAUAACACAUAUCCUACAUAUUGCCAUAAGUUUUAGGUUGGGGUGACCGCGGAGAAAAAUUAAUCCUCCACGAUGAAAUAGACUCAAUUCUUUAGUAAAAAGCCACAACUUAGCACAUCAAAACUCUUGACAUUUUUUGACCCAAUAUUUUGAUCAACGAACCAAGUUACCCUAGGGAUAACAGCGCCAUCCAUUUUGAGAGCUCCUAUCGACAAAUGGGCUUACGACCUCGAUGUUGGAUCAGGGUAUCCCAGUGGUGUAGCCGCUACUAAUGGUUCGUUUGUUCAACGAUUAAAACCCU